rnacentral:rRNA from 1 species
AUGGACCCUGGCAGUGGUGGUCCUUGGGCAUCAGCUCAAAGAAACCGACUGCUCCCGAUCCGCUUGUCAAGAGAACCUGCCAACACUGAGUGGACGCCGCCCGCCGGUUCUCCGGCGGAGGAGCCGGUGAGCCCUACAGCAAGAGCCAUGGAAGAUAUAGGUAUUUAUAUCGUCGUCACGAUCGGCCUCGACACGCCGAUAAACCUGACCGCCUUCCAAGCCGGCAUUGAAGCUAUGCUUGCCCGAUGCCCGCGCUAUGGAUGCAUUCAAGUGGCGGAUGGGUCCAACAAUGGCGAGGCGCGAUGGGCGCGCACUACUGUGAACGUCCAAGAUCACAUGAUCGUGCCGAGGCUGGACCACGCGACCGACCCAGACAAGGCCGUGGAGGACUACAUCGCCUCGCUGUCCACGCUCCCCAUGGACCGCUCCCGCCCGCCAUGGGAGUUCCACUUCCUCGACUUCCCGACCUCCGAGGCGGCCUCCACGGUGGCGAUCCGCGUGCACCACGCCUACGGUGAUGGUAUGUCCACUAUGGCGCUUCUCAUGAUGUCCACGCGCAGCGCCGCCGCCGACACGAAAAGCCAUCCAGCCGCGCCUCCGCAUCGUCGUCCUACGCGCACGAGCGCCAUAUAUGCCCCGCAACGCCCCCCACUUUCCGCGGGCGUCCUGGCGUUCGUCGCAUGGGUCUGGUCGUAUCUUGUGCUCGCGUGGAACACUGCGGCAGAUAUUGCCUACUUCGCCGCCACGAUUAUGUUCUUGAGUGACCCGCGCACUCUCUUCAAGCGUGCCGACGACGGGUUCCACGCCAAGCGCUUUGCCCACCGGAGUCUUAGCCUCGAUGACGUCAAGUUCCUCAAGAACUCCAUGAACUGUACUGUCAAUGAUGUGUUGGUUGCACUGACUUCUGCUGCUCUAUCACGAUAUUACUUCCGCAAGUCCGGUGACACUAGGAAAAUCUGUGUGCGAUCACUCCUUCCUGUCAACACAAGACCAGCCACUAGCCUACAGACUUAUGUUAAUGUGAUAGAAUCUGAUAAGAGGAACGAGGUGACAUGGGGAAAUAAAUUGGGCUACAUCAUUCUUCCAUUUUAUCUAGCCAGACACGAUGAUCCACUUGCAUACAUUCACAAAGCAAAGAAGGUUCUGGAUAGGAAAAAGAGGUCCUUAGAAGUGAUAUUCACAUAUAAGAUUGCUGAGAUCUUCAUGAAUGUUUUUGGUGCCAAGGUAGGAACUUCUAUCUUCCGGUGUCUCUUUGCACGUACAACAAUUGUUUUCUCAAACAUGGUUGGACCAACCGAACAAGUAGAAUUAUGUGGACACCCAGUGGCUUUCAUUGCACCUAGUGUCUAUGGGAUUCCAGAGGCUCUGAUUAUUCACUACCAAAGUUACAGAAGCACUAUCAAGAUAAUUCUAUCAGUAGAUGAGGACAUGUUUCCAGACUAUCAUCAACUUCUGGAUGACUUUGACGAAACCCUCGCGGCCAUGAUGAAUGCGGCUUCAAGACCUUUAACAUUGACCAAGGACGACUAA